CCUAAAGUACAUUAUGCAUACCCCAUUUUCUAAACCCUAAUGCACUGGGCGGAAAAAUGCUCAUUAAUUGCCGAAUUUGAAAUUCAAAUUUCACUGCUAGGAAAUACAAAUUUUGUUGUUUGUCUGCCACACUCCUAUUUUUGUUCAAUUUCCAAAAAAAAAAGAUCAAACUCUGUCUUCUCUCAUUCUGGCACAAAUUUCUUUAGUUUCAUUCUUAUUGUCCCAAGGAAAAAAAAAAAAAACCGUUUGGGAUUACAGGAUGUUUUACACAUCCGAUCCUUUUAUGACCUUUUCCCCUUCUUCAUCUACCUUUCCUAUUAUCCAUGCCUUCUCUUUCUCUUCAACUUCAAUCCAUUUUUACUUUAAUGUCCCAUUUUCCUUUCUCUUAAUUCUAUUCAUCUCUUUCCCCUUUCUUCAUCAUUCCCGAUGAUCUCCUUUCUUAUUAUCUACUCCUUUCUACACCUCCUCACCAGAAACAUGCCACUCCUUACUCCUCCGAUUUGUCCUCAUCGCCGUUAUCGAUUUCAAAAGGUUUACGGCUAUUAUACGAAGCAAGAUUUAUGCGAAUCGAGAAACCUUGAUAACCAAUUUCAUCAUCAGAAGGAUUAGCAAGAUCAGCAAGAGCAGCGAUACCAGUUUCCAACUGAUUAUUCUACCAAGAGGUUCCAGAAAACCGAUAACCGGAGGAAGUUGUCAAGAUCGAAGUCAGUGGCUUCGGUUCUUCAUCGGUUAACGAUGGAAGAUCGACGACGCCGAACGCCGCCGUGACUUCCGACGUCGUCAGUUGUUUUGGUUGGAAGGAUAACGGCGGGUUCGGCGGUUGGUGGUGGUUUGUUUGGGACAGUGGUCGAUCUAUGGCUAAAGGAAUUGGAUGAUGGUUGCAGUGCAGUUCUGAAACAUAACACUGCUGUUUUGGUGCUAUCAUGAAUAGAGGGAGACAUUUAUGAACUGUUGUUGUGUUCACUGUGGCCGGUCACUUGCAACUGUGACAAUAAGAUAAAGGGGAAGGACUUUAGGAGGCAGAUGAGAAUGGUGAAUAUUUGGAUGUUUCCGAUAACGAUUAUGAUCAAAUAAUCAUAUUUGUUUCCGAUAUCAGGAUGAGAAGUAUUGUAGGUAAGUAAUAUGUCUCACUGUUCUAAAAGAAAUACAUUCAACUAUUAAUGAAUUAGUUAGAUAAAUAAUAAUGUGAUUGAUACUCCUGGAUGUGUCUUCUUGCCUGAAAACAAUUAUUUAUCCAUUGUUAGUUGCGAUGUUUCGAUAACAGUUCACAUUUGUAGGCUUAUAGCCAUUUUUUUUUCUACGCUAAGUAAAGAUUUUAUCUGUUUUUGUUUUGUUGUUGAAUUGAAUUAGAUAGUUGUGACAUGUGAUUUUUUAUAAGAUCAAAUGUUAAGUUAGUGUUUUUUCUUUAUAUAGCUUAUUUUUAAGUGAAGUAGAAUAUCAAUUUUUUUCCUGAUACAUGAAAUCAAAGGUCCUAUAUAUAAUUGUUAUAGAAUCACAAGUUUAAUGCUAACUGCAAAUUAUGCAGAUAUUUUGAGCAAAUUUUCAUCUUUAAUGUCAUAUGUCCAUUUUUCUCUAAGUCCCUUACUUUCCUUUAUCUGGAUUUUCCCCCCACUUUCCAUUGUUUUUUUUUCCUUUGCCAUUAUUUUUUCUAUCUUAUUACCAUUUUGUUCUAAUUAUUUAUGAAGUUCUUUCACUUUUUGACAUUGUACCAUCUACCUAUUGCGUUGGCUCUAGAAAUACCAGGUUAAUUCAUUUCUUUAUUUAAAGGCAUGGUUUUGAAAAGAAAAAUUUGAAAAACCUCCUAGAUUUUUUACAAAAUGCAUAAUGGAUAAGCAAAUGUAAACAGUCGCAUAAAAUAUGUGCCUUGGUUUGUAAUAAUUUUUGGAUUAGUUUCUUAGUUGAAUGCUUCUAUUUGAAGAUAUUGGCUUAGAAGUAAAAACUGGAAAUGAUUAUUGAUUGUGAUUAGCAAAAGAAUAUCAUAAACAAGCAUUUAGUAAAAUAUGGUUUAGUUAUAUGCAGACUGAUUUUCCUGUUUUAAAUCAAGACAAUGGUUUGUUUUAUAUGCAGACAUGUGAAGUUCGAGUCUUAAAUUGCUAAUACAUUGUGCUCAUCAUUGAAAACACGUUUGAGAGUUCCACAAUCUUUUUCAAAGUUUAAAUUGAAUGGGAAGGACUUUAUGAGAUAUAUGGCUCGAAAGUCAUUCAAAACACGUUUGAGAGUUCCACAAUCUUCUUUUGCCAAUAAUUGGGUCCCUAAAUCUUGAAAUGCAACAUAUUUGUUUAGUUUUAGUUUGGUUAUUUAUCUUAUUUUUAAAUCCAGUUUGCUCAUAAUAUUGUCUCAUUUUAUAUUCAAUUUAGUCCUAAUGACCCUUUAUUUUUUUCAAAUUGUUCUUUCGCUUCUAUGACAAAUUUAAGGAUCAUGAGUUGCGAGGAUUACAAUUUCAAAAGGUAAACAUUGUUGAACAUGAGAGGGCCAAGGUGUCUUCUUGAGAGACUGCAAUGAUCUUUUGUUGAAGAUAUAAAUUGACUUUUUUCCUGAUCUAUGUUUCUGGAGUUUUCAUUCUUUACUAUAUGUUACUACUACAUGUUUUCAUUCCAAAGCUGUCGUAUAAGUUUCCAGCAUCAUGGUCUUAAAACACAUGGUACUAACUCAUCAUUUAUCCUUAUGUAAUAUUUAUAUAACAAAUUUCUGGAAGCAAAUCAUUUGUAUAUUUUUUUGACAAGGCUCAAAUUCAAAGACAAUAUCAUACAUGUCCGAAUUCAUUUUUGGACUUUGGAAAGGCUUGAAAGUGCAAUAGAUAAAGAAAAGGAUUUACAGGAGAAUGUAAAAUGGUCAAGAGAGACAUAAAAAUGCUCAUUAAAAAUUUUCAUGAUGUAUAUGAUUGUAAAUUUAUAUCAAUGUAGUAUUAUUGUAAGACAAGAUUCUGUAUUGUAUUGAGCAUGAAGAAACCCACAAUGGCUUCCAUUUUUUCCCUUUUUUAAGUUGUAUUAUUAUUUUUAACAUUGUAUUUGCACAUACAGAUUCUUAGUUACAAUAUAAUUGAAUAUUUUGUUUGCAAUCAAUAUGACCCGUGCGGCCGCACGGGUGCAAGGUCUAGUUUCUAUAA